GCCUCCUUAGCUCAAUGGUAGAGCGUGAGGCUUUUAACCUCAAGGUUGUGGGUUCGAGCCCCACAGGGGGCG
rnacentral:tRNA from 7 species